ensembl:lncRNA
UCUUAACAAAAAUACAAGAGUGGGGCUUAGAUGUCACCGAAGCUGAAGCUCAGCGUUUCAGAGGAUGAAGGAAUCUUCAGUGACGCUGACUCUACAGACUGUCUCUCCAGAAGACUGGCAACCAUCUACUUCGUCAACUUCAAUAAGGGACCAUGCGUCCAAGGAGAGGAUUUAUUAUCCAUAGACGCCCACUUAAAGGUCUUACAGUGCCAAUAUCAGAAGAUGCAACCAGAUACCAUGGUGGUUCAUAACCAUAUGCAGCAAACGUUUGCUUGGCGGCAGAAAGAAAUUGCAAAUGGUAUGCCUGUGGAGGAUGUGUUGAAGAAGUACCCCUUCUUAGGGAUGCCUACUGGUGUAAGUCAGAAAGCUGAAUUGAACUUGGAAAUAGCUGUCACAUUUAACAUGUUUAUAGUAGUAAAUUUUAUUUGCCCUUGACCUUGUUUUCUUCAUCUGUCCCUCUUUCCUUUUUUUUUAUGUUCAUGUAACUUCUUACAGUAUUGUUGUUAAAUUCUAUAAAAAAAAUAAUUAUGCAGCACCAUACAUAAUUAAUAUCAACUUUAGAUUAUUUCAUUUUCAAACACUGUUAUUUUGUACUGAAAAUUAAUUAACCAACAACGGGUAAUGUAAGCCAGCGAUUUCGUGAAGGGCUCUCAUGUGUUGCAGCAAAGGUGAUUGACGUUACACGAGGGAAAACCCCACUCUACCAGCUCUACCUUGAUGCAAGAGAGGAGGCUCUCACUGAUGACCUACCAGGUAUUUGCUUUUUUUUUUUUUUUUUUAACUUCAAGGCUUCCAUUUUAUAUAAUUUUUAUAGGUAACUGGAAAUGCCAGAUAAAAUGCAUGGGUGAUCUUGUGUUUUGUUGUUUUUUUGGCAGAUCUUGACACAAGGGCUGCACUUUUAUUCCUGCCAUACGUCUUCAAGGAGAAACUGGAUCUCUUUGUCAUACUUGGAGAGGUUUAUCCUAAAACCCCCUAUCCAACUGUUCAGCUACUUUAUGAAGACUGGAAACCAGUGUUCUCCAGAAGCGCUCCAAACAUUGUGAAGUUGGAUGGCAGUGAAGUGUGCAGAAGCUCGUGUAUUUUUGAAGCAAUCAUCUCUUCUUUCUGCUUGUAUUUUGUCUUCAACCUUGCUUACCCAAAACAUCUGAAGAACACCCUGAUUUUUCUCCAAAAGUACAUUGUGAAAAUAGAUGAGGGUGAGGACCGGCCUCUACCAAUCACAGUCACCAGACAAAUAAAUCUUCUGUAUUGACCACCAUGCCUCAGCCAUAUCAGUGCUCCAAAUGUGGCAGAAGAACCUUUAGUUUGACAAAGCUUAUUCAGCACAUAGGUGAUGCCAAUUUUGAUAUAACCUGUGGACUCAGUGACUGCUGUUCUUCCUUCAAAAAAUAUGAAUCUUUCAGACGACAUGUGUAUAGGAAACACAGAGAACAGGUGUUGUGUUAAUAUUGACACAAUGUGGGUCUUUUGUGGAAAAAUUCUCAUUCCUCUGUUAUAUGACAACCAUUUUCAUUCAUACAGUGUUAGAGUUGAUAGUGAAUGGACGUUGCUAAAACCUGGACAGGAAAUUGAU